rfam:Oryza brachyantha chromosome 12, whole genome shotgun sequence.
AAUAAUCUUAUUUUUCGUUUUUCCGUAUCCAACGUUUGACCAAUUCGUCUUAUUUGAAAUUUUUUUGCGAUUAAUAUUUUUAUUGUUACUAGAUGAUAAAAUAUGAAUAGUACUUUAUAUGUGACUAUUUUUUUAAGUUUUUGACAAUUUUUUUAAAUAAGAAGAAUGGUCAAAAUUUAGACACGGAAAAAC